UUUGAAAAAAUCAUAACCAAAAAAAAAAUAAAAAAAUGGCAGCCUCUUUGUCUUUGUUUAAAGUUGUGUUUCUUAUUGUGCUAUUUUUCAUGGGCAAUGCAGAGGCAAAUAUUUGUCAAGAACCAAGCAAAACAUUCAAGGGACCAUGUGUAGAACAAGCAAAGUGUACAAGUGCUUGUCAAAGUGAGGGUUUUCAAUUUGGAGAGUGUAGUAACUCCAUAUGCUACUGCACAAAGCCAUGUCCUCCCAAUAACCAAUCAUAAAUAUUUUGUAAUUUUUAUUAUUUAUAAAUUAUCAUUGUAUUUUUAUGAGGCUCAAAAAAUAUAUACUUCUACUUUGAUGAUUAAUUUAUAUCUAUUUAUGAUUAGAGAUCUUAAAUAUUA